rnacentral:tRNA from 1 species
GCCUUCAUAGUGCAGUGGUGAGCACACUUGGCGCGUAUUCGAGGUCCGUGGUUCGAGUCCCGGCAAAGGCA